UUGGCCCUAUUUCUUGCGAAGUCUCAAGUUCCACUUGGGAUAGACCCCCACAGAGGGGCUAGCAGAAAUGGGGCUUA
rnacentral:ncRNA from 1 species